UGACCCAUAGUGUAACGGUAACACACCGGUUUUUGGUGCCGUUUUUCUAGGUUCGAAUCCUAGUGGGUCAA
rnacentral:tRNA from 1 species